AAGGUGCAUAUUUUAAGAUUAUUUUGGGUAUUGUUUUAUUUCUCACAGUGAGCUGCCUCCAAAGGAAAAUUAGUCAUGACAAAGCACAGUUGAAAUAAAUGAGACAAAUGAGUCAUGACUAAGGAACUUCGUUAUGACCAACUUUUUUGGAUGACAAGGGCCAUUUUGGAGGCCGCCACGCCUGCGCAAUGGCAUGACUCAGGCCACGCAGAGGCCCAUUGUGCAGACGCAGCAGCCUCUAAAAUGGCUGCCACGCCGGCAGAAAAGGCCCAAACAGGCCGAAGAAUGGCCAAACGGGCCGGUUUUGGACCAAAGGGAGGCCAGCAGUGGAAGGGGAACCUCCUCAGACCGCCCCCCUGCCACCUCAGAGAACACCUCCAGAGGGGGGAGGAUACUUUGCACAUGCUCAGAGGCUCUCCUAUGGAGAAGGCAGAAUUUUUCAAAACAAAAUCUGGCAACUCUAUUCAGACGGACAGAUGUACCCAUCCCUGGAUCUAGAUGCAACUGCUAUGAAAAUCCACAUCUGUAAGCAGGGAUCUCUAUACUCUGCACUUAAAAAAAAAAAAAGCAAGUUUCUGGCCCUCAUGGACAUGGAGAUACAUUUGAUAGCAUAUAGCCAAUGGCAGUAAAAUCUCAGAACACACAAGGGUAGCUAACUAAUAGGAACUGCUUCUUAUGUAGCUUUGCACCCUUUUCCUGUCCCCAACCAGUCAAAGCAGAUUAAAUUAUGCAAAAUAAGCAAAAUUGUCUGUUUCAGCCUUUCUUGGCACAGAAUUUAGAUUUUUGUUUCUUUUAGAUUGUGAGCUCUUCGAGGAUAGGAAAUCAUCUUAUUUAUUUUUCUAUGUAAACCACUUUGUGAACUUUGGGUUAAAAGCGCCAUAUAAAUAUCAACAGUCGUUAUACCGUAGUUGUCUAGUUGAAAGCACACACAUUCCUCUGGAUAUGAGGAAUGAAGGUUUAGGAACAUAGGAAGCUGCCUUAUACUGAGUCAGACCAUUGAUCCAUCUAGCUCAGUACUGUCUACACACAGACUGGGUUAUCAUUCAGAAGUAAGGGUGGGCCAGGCUGUCCACCGACCAGAAGGUAGCAGGCAGGGCAAAUAUUCAAUGUAAGUAAAUAAAUAAAUGUGAUGAUGCAACUACAUGCAGCAGCCAGGGAAGGGGAAACCAAAUAACAGGAUUUGACUUGAGCAUGCUGCCUGCAGAGAGCACAGAAAGACUGAUAUUUGCACAAAGGAUCUCUAUUUUUACUUUUGCUUUUUCAAAUCUCAGAAUGUCUUACAGCAACAUCAAAACUAAUAAAACCACAGCAAUUAAAUCAAUGGCCCAAUAACAUGCGACUCACAGUGUAUGCCAAACAAAACCAGCAGGACAGGAAAAACCAAAAUCUAGCCUAUACCAAUAGCACAAAAGGUCUGGCCUGAUAGAAAAGUCUUUAUGCCCUGCUAAAAGAGUGCAGAUCUGAUGGUUUUCAUUUGGGAGGGAAUACCACACUAUGGGAACCACCAGUAAGAAAACACUGGCCAGCAUCCACAUUAACCCUGUAUACACAGAGCCAAAAAAAGCAUGUGUGUAGCAGCUGCAUGCCUCCCCCAGAAACACUCUGUGCAACACUCACAUAUGUUCCAGAGGGUCAGGGGCAUAUUUGUGUGUUGGACAGGGAGCUUCUGGGGGAAGGAGAGAUUGGCAAAAACUGUCCCUCUCCUGCACUUGAGCGCAUGCGCUUCAGAAGUGGGCAUGCAUCCACCGCACAUGGAUGUUGUUGACUCCACAUGUGGAUGUCAGCCACUAUUCCUAAUGGAGGAUAGGCCUCCCUCAUUGGUGGUAUGCACAGUAAGGCUUCAUUACUCAUGCUUAAUGUUCAGAGAGCAGAUUCAUACAGGAGAAAGUUGAUCUCAAAUAUCACAGUACAACUGCCCAUGUGGUAUGGGGGAAGUCGAAUCCAUCCAACAUGUUUUGUUGCGCUGUCCAUUAUAUAGAAAUUUAAGAUGUUCCUUCCUUACUCCUCUUCUGACACCCUUCCCAGGUUGCUCUGGAGAUUUUUAUGUUUCCUAUCUUCUUGCGGAUAGAACUUUAGAUGUCACCUUUAAGGCGGCUAAAUUCUGUUCUAUUGCAGUACUGUUGCGGCAGCGAGCUUUUCCUUGAUUAAUUUUAAAAUUUUAUUGAUCAUUUGUUUGUGGAUAUUCAUCUAUAUAUUUAAAUAUUUCACUUCCUUAUUGUAUUUUUCUAUGCUAUGAGAUGUUUUGUUACGUUAUAUUAUGCUGACCUUGGGUCGCAAAUAAAGAACUUUGACUAUCACA